GUAGCGAAAUUCCUUGUCGGGUAAGUUCCGACCUGCACGAAUGGCGUAAUGAUGGCCAGGCUGUCUCCACCCGAGACUCAGUGAAAUUGAACUCGCUGUGAAGAUGCAGUGUACCCGCGGCAAGACGGAAAGACCCCGUGAACCUUUACUAUAGCUUGACACUGAACACUGGUCCUUGAUGUGUAGGAUAGGUGGGAGGCUUUGAAGCGUGGACGCCAGUCUGCGUGGAGCCAACCUUGAAAUACCACCCUUUAAUGGCUGGUGUUCUAACGUAGACCCGUAAUCCGGGUUGCGGACAGUGUCUGGUGGGUAGUUUGACUGGGGCGGUCUCCUCCCAAAGAGUAACGGAGGAGCACGAAGGUUGGCUAAUCCUGGUCGGACAUCAGGAGGUUAGUGCAAUGGCAUAAGCCAGCUUGACUGCGAGCGUGACGGCGCGAGCAGGUGCGAAAGCAGGUCAUAGUGAUCCGGUGGUUCUGAAUGGAAGGGCCAUCGCUCAACGGAUAAAAGGUACUCCGGGGAUAACAGGCUGAUACCGCCCAAGAGUUCAUAUCGACGGCGGUGUUUGGCACCUCGAUGUCGGCUCAUCACAUCCUGGGGCUGAAGUAGGUCCCAAGGGUAUGGCUGUUCGCCAUUUAAAGUGGUACGCGAGCUGGGUUUAGAACGUCGUGAGACAGUUCGGUCCCUAUCUGCCGUGGGCGCUGGAGAAUUGAGGGGGGCUGCUCCUAGUCCGAGAGGCCCGGAGUGGACACAUCACUGGUGUUCGGGUUGUCAUGCCAAUGGCACUGCCCGGUAGCUAAAUGCGGAAGAGAUAAGUGCUGAAAGCAUCUAAGCACGAAACUUGCCCCGAGAUGAGUUCUCCCUGAGACCUUGAGUCUCCUGAAGGAACGUUGAAGACGACGACGUUGAUAGGUCGGGUGUGUAAGCGCAGCGAUGCGUUGAGCUAACCGAUACUAAUGAACCGUGAGGCUUAACCUU
rnacentral:rRNA from 1 species